CAUCCAAGAAAGGAAGUCAAAGUGCUUUUUAUGAUAUCGUCUCUAAAUUCACAUCCUGUCGCUUUCUUUACUAGAAGCAUGUCACUACAUCCAACCUACUCUCAAGAGGAGAGGAAUUAGGCUCCAUCUCUUGAAGGCAGGAAUAUUAGAGAAUUUGUGUGCAUAAUUUAAAUCCACCAUAGACAUGUUAACUUAUCUAAAGCAAUGGAACUAAUAAGUGGAGAAGCCUUCAUUUGAACUUUUUUCAGUCUUAGUCUGGAACCAGUGUUUUAAUUGCAGCUCUCUAGUGCCUAGGAAAACUAUAUAUUCGAAUGCAUUAUCUCUUGAGAGCACAUUUAGAAACCAAAUGCAAUCUAAAUGAAAUUGGGUAGAUAUGAAGCUCAGAAAGAAGGAAACCUCAGAGUGACAGCCAUGCCCAAACUCCUCUUUGACAGUCUCUUCUAUAUUCCUGUUUAAGAUGUGCCCCACGUAGUUAUGCUCAGGGAAGUGGUACAAUCAGGGAAGCACAGUUUGAAUGAUGUUUACAAUCUUUACCUGAUCUCUCAAAAAAUACUAAAGGUGAUUCAAGUACAUAGUUGAUAUAAAUUCUUACUAAAAUUCCAAAUACCAAGGAAUGUCCCAGAGCCUCUCAUCAUUCUGAGGAAAGAAUGCUUUGCAUUAUCUCCACCAUUACAUGCCCCACUUUCUCCGCCUCUCCCACUCCACCCACCAUGUGUGCUUUCACACAUCUUUCUUUGGGCCUGUGAACUGCUCAGAAGUAUAUUAGCUAUGCUUUCCUCCCCACUCUUGCUGAAGAAUUUGGCAAUGGAACUGUUGUCCUUUCUGCUUCUUCACGCACAGACUUCGUCACCACAGCCCAAAGCACCAAUGACCAUAAGAGCAGAAGAAAUAACAAAAUAAUCUACUAAUCCACAACCUUUCAUGACUGUCAGGGAGAAGGGGGAUCUACAUAUAUGAUUAUUUUCUCUGCUACUGCAGACAUAGGUGACUGGACCACUGGUGUCUGACAUAAAGGCAGCCACCUGCAGGAUGAGCAGGAAUCUGAGAAGUGGCUUGGUAGAAACACAGUCCAGGCUAAGGGAUCCACAGUUAAUGAUGACUGAGAAAACCCCUUGCACUCUUUUUUUUUUUUUUUUCCUAGGAAAUUUAACUGUGAAACGGUAAGGAAAUAAAUGAGAGAGCAGAAGCCUAGAGAUGAAGGCCUAUAAGGCAGUAAGCCUUGUGUGAUUAGCCCUGAGUGACAAGGAAGAAAACCAGGUUUAAAACUAAGUCUAAUUAACUGAGACAACUCAAGUGUGACUCUUCCUCGCAAAGGAGGGAUCUUAUGUACCUACUAAAAAGGAUAAAAUUGUGUUUUCUAUCUUUCAACAACUUUA